rnacentral:rRNA from 1 species
GAGUUUGAUCCUGGCUCAGGAACGAAACGCUGGUGGUGUGCCUAAUACAUGCAAGUCGAACGAUAAGUCUCGCCGUGUCUCGGGCGGCGACUCAAAAGNUUGGGCGAAACGGGUUGGNAGUGACACGCAUGUUAGGAGUAAUCAUACCCUAUCAGGCUGGGGAACUAGCCCAAGGUAGAAAUGCAUGUGGGCUAAAUACCCGCAUUACUGGCACCAACUACGCUAUACAUGCUAGGAUUAGCGGGGAGAGAUGAUCUGUAUUCUGCNCUUCUGCGCGUAGGGAGACUCCGGUACUGGGAUCUCAGAUUAAGUCUUGGGUGCGAUGANNUAUGCGCANNCAUAGACCAUGAUCCCAUUACGCUGGUCUGAUGCAUGGAUAGAUCUGACCCACACUGGGUAUCUGAAGAUCAGCGAGCCCAGGACUACCUAUCCGCGUGACGGGAAGNAGGUGGGGGAAAUCUAAGUCCGUCAAGUUGGGGCUGAGAGAGGGCUAGACCGUNAGAGCCCAUUGCCGGCGUCGAGUUGGAAGUAGANUGGCCCUCGGGCGUUAGGGGGUAGUCUUGCCGUCGGGUUGUAGGNCAUCAGUGACGGUAUCNCAUGGGUGUCCAGAGGGCCCCCGGGCACACGGUCCUGAUGUCCAAGUGGCCGCGGUUAGGGACGGAAGAGGACGUAGGCCGCUAAGCCGGGACUCGGUGUGCUUGAGGUCCGUGUAGGGCGUGAUGGUCAUCGGGGUGUGAAAGUCCCCGGGGCUCAAGGCUCCGGGACCUUGGGCUUUCGCUCUGUCCCUNUUGAAGGCCGGGAUGAGGGGUAGAAGGGGCAUUGCCCCAUUGCUUGGAGGUUGGAGUUCCACAAGACUGUGGGACGAAAGCACGGAAUAGGCAAAGGGGAAUCCCUGGUGCCCGGGUUCCNGAAACACUGGAAGGCUUGGAAAACCGUAGAGGGUGGGGAACAGGAAAGGUUCCGUGGGCCUAAAGGGCC